CCUACGGGAGGCAGCAGUGAGGAAUAUUGGUCAAUGGGCGGAAGCCUGAACCAGCCAAGUAGCGUGCGGGAUGAAGGCCCUACGGGUCGUAAACCGCUUUUGCACGGGGAUAACACCCUCCACUUGUGGACGUCUGCAGGUACCGUGCGAAUAAGGGCCGGCUAAUUCCGUGCCAGCAGCCGCGGUAACACGGAAGGCACGAGCGUUAUCCGGAUUCAUUGUGCUAAAAGGAAGCGUAGGCGGGCGUUCAAGUCAGCUGUAAACUCGCGUGGCUCCACCGCACCCCCAGUUGAAACUGGACGCCUUGAGUUCACAACAGGCAGGCAGAAUUCGUGGUUUAGCGGUGAAAUGCAUAGAUAUCACGAGGAACCCCGGUUGCGAAGGCAGCCUGCUGGGGUGCGACUGACGCUGAGGCUCGAAGGUGCGGGUAUCAAACAGGAUUAGAUACCCGAGUAGUC
rnacentral:rRNA from 1 species